AAGAUGGCGGAUGCCGAAGAACUUUGCCAAGAUGGGUAUCGUUUUGCAACCCAGGCGAUAGCAUGCGACCAGAAAGGCAGCAUAGAAUCUGCUAUUUUCUUUUAUAUUGAAGCUGCUAGCUCCCUGGAAAGGGCUUUAUCCUAUAACAACACGUUAGACGUAAGAGAUAAGGCGCUUCAGUAUGUGCAGAGAGCCGAAGUUCUACGUCUACAAGCUAAAAGUCAGCAGCAGUACCAUGGCCCAUUAAAGACAUCACAACAGAAUAACUUGGAGAAGGCUGAGUUUCUUCUAAAACAAGGUCUGUGUGAAGAUGAGAAAGACAAGCAUACAGAGGCUCUUCCUUUAUACACAGAUGCAGUUCAACUGUGCCUUGAUAUUAGUAAAUCUUUGCCUGAUAGUGAUCCCCUAAAAGCACAAUUCAAUAAUCUUGCCAAGAAAGCUCUGGAAAGAGCUGAAGACAUCAAACGGAUGCAGUCAACUGGAAACAAAUAUGUUGGGACAGGUAGCAAUGAGGGAACUUCAAUCACUAGAGCUGUAGCAGGUUUGAACUUUACAGAGAACAAUUCCACAUCUCAGGGGAAACCAGACAAAGGAAAACCCAAGUACACUCCAGAAGAAAUAGCUGUGUUAAGGGUAACGUCCAAGAUAAAUGGAAAAAUGUAUGUUCCUUGGAAUGAUAUUGACCUGAAAGAGCGCUUUGCUUAUCCUGUCUGUUUCACGGACAAGGAUGGUCCUCUUGCACUUUCUCCUAAGCAAAGAAGUAAUUUUGAACAGUGGGUCAGACCUACUGACAUAUAUGAGGACCCAGAAAUGAUUUAUGCCAUCUCAAGCUUUAGUGUUAAGCAGACAGUUGUGUCGGACUGUUCUUUCAUAUCAUCUUUAGCCAUCAGUGCUGCGUAUGAGAGAGAUUUCAAAAAGAGACUUGUUACGAGCAUCAUAUAUCCACAGAAUAGAGAUGGCUUACCAAUGAUCAACCCUUCAGGGAAAUACAUGAUAAAACUUUGGCUAAAUGGGACUGCACGUAAAGUUAUAAUAGAUGAUACUUUGCCCAUGGGGAAAGAUGGUACUCUCCAGUGUGCACAUUCAACCAACAGAAAUGAAAUGUGGGUUAGCCUAAUUGAGAAGGCCUACAUGAAGGUCAUGGGUGGUUAUGACUUCCCAGGAUCGAAUUCGAGCAUCGACCUCCAUGCCCUUACUGGCUGGAUACCAGAGCGCAUGUCCAUUAAAAAAAACAGCUCUGAGUUCAACGAAGCUCUUCAGUUUGAUAGGCUGAUGAAGGGUCUACGUCAUGGUGAUUGUUUGAUCACGGUUGCCACGGGUAACAUGAGUGACAUUGAAGCUGAUCGUGCUGGACUGGUACCAACGCAUGCUUAUGCUGUCCUUGACAUGCGCAAAGUGAUGGGACAUCGACUUCUGCUGUUAAAAAAUCCUUGGAGUCAUCUAAGAUGGAAGGGAAAAUUCUCUGAAAGAGACGAAAGUAGCUGGACGCCUGAACUACAACGUGCCCUGAACUACGACAGGAAGAGUGCGUUGCAGCAUGACAAUGGCGUGUUUUGGAUAGCAUGGGAGACUCUCCUUCAUUUUUAUGAAGUCAUUUACAUGAACUGGAACCCGAAGCUCUUUGCUCAUCGAUUUACAUUCCAUAGUAAAUGGGAAGCAAAGGAAGGCCCGGUAAAAGAUGCGUAUAACAUUGGUGACAAUCCUCAGUACAGGCUGGAAGUAAACUCUGGGGCGCAGUCUGCAGUAGUAUGGAUUCUACUGACCAGACACAUUACCAAAAAGGAAGACUUUGCUGAGAACAAGGAGUUUAUAACUGUACAUGUCUACAAAACAGAUGGAAAAAGAGUUUACUAUCCAGAUAAUCCAUACCAAGAAGGAACAAAAAUCAACAGCCCAUUUUAUUUGUCAAAGUUGAACGUUCCUGCUGGGAAGCAACGCUUCACGCUGAUCGUCUCACAAUACGAAAAAACUAACACAAUAUACUACACGCUGAAGGUAUUUUCAUCUUCUGAAUUUCGUCUUUCGCCCGUGGUUGAUCCCUACAAGCACGAGAAAACGGUCAAGGACAGUUGGACGGCCAAGACAGCAGGUGGUUGUCCAAACUAUCCCACCUUCAGUAGCAACCCUGUGUACAGUCUGGAACUCAAAUCGCCUGUCACCUCAAAUCCUGCUGAAGUCUUUAUCAAAAUGCUUGCUCCAAAGCAAUUUUCUAUUGGGGUCAUGUUACGAUCUGUGGAUAGAACACCUUCAGGAAAACCCACAUAUGAAGCACCCUUUGAGAGCUACAGUACACAAAGGUUUUGCCAGGUGCCCUGCCUCGUGUGAGCCUGUUAAUGAACCGGUCUGCGGUACUGAUGGAAAGACUUACAAGAACAGGUGUGCAGUGUUGAUGUUCAACUGUAAAGCCAAACAAGGCAAAAUCAAAGUUGAGCAUUAUGGGAAGUGUGAAAAAGACGAUCAUGGAAAGAUAGACUGUCUACGAAUUGGACGCAAAAAAUAUUUUAAAUGUUAAAAAACAAAUCAUCUCUUUUAAAAGACGCUUCACAAGACUUCACCAAGUCUAUCCUCAUUUCCUGAAGAAAGAAAGCAUUGUUUGAAAUAUUUAUAAUGUUCUUUUUGCCUUUGAUGUGAAUACUUUUCUGAAGCAACUAAUAGUGAAUCAGUCUAUUCUAGUGCAGUAAAUUAAAAUGAUUUUACAGAGCCCUAUUGCUGGUUUUCAAUCAUUCCCAAGAGAAUGAAAUAACAAAAGACACGGCGGCCAUGUUGGACGAUAUAACGAAAGAGACUAAUGGCGAAUAUUUUGUUAAAUUCAUCCAACAUGGCAGCUGUGAAAACUAAUAGCUUGGAAAUUAAUUUUCGAGCUGUACUUGGGAUAAUAAAAUUGUAUUGAACGACCACUGAUUCAAGCCCACAAAA
rnacentral:misc_RNA from 1 species